GUACCAGAGAUCCGAAGUUUCGAUGGUGAAUUUGGGCUAAGUCCCACUUAUUCGGCCCAAAACCAACUAAAAUGAUCUCCCGCCCUUUUCACUUGCUUUGCGCGGGAACAAUAAGAACAGAAUGAGAAGGGCGAAAAUCAGAUCAGUAUUGUUUUCAUUUCUCAGUUCACACUUUUUCACCGCUUUCAGAAGAAGAAGAAAAUUAUGCAGACCGUUCGAUCUCAACGGAAACCCUCGGUGAACGAUGUCGUUUCUACUCUCCCUCUUUACCGUUCGGCUCCCGCACUUGAAGUCAGGCUCGAAGAUUUCGAGCUUUUCGCCAUGGAUCGCCUUCGAGUGCUUAAAGGAAUUUCUGAUGGAUUGUCUAGAGGAAAGAGACCCGAAGAAAUGGUGAAAUUGGAAGACGAACUGUGGAGGGCAAAUAUGAGGCAUCCACAGCCAUCUGAAAAUAUGAACAAGGAUAUUAUAUCCCACUUUGUUCUCCGUCUUGUGUAUUGCAGAACGGAGGACUUGAGAAAAUGGUUUCUUUCUAUGGAGACUACUCUAUUUCGUUAUCGUUUUGGCAAGAAAAAUGCUGAAGUUCAGAGGGCUCUCAUGGCAGAAUUUGCCCUUUCAUACAAGGCAGUUAGCAAUUCAGAAUUUGAGAGUGUAAAAGAUAAGUUGGUCCAAGUUGCACGUUCCAUUGGUCAGAAGGAUUUACCAACUGCUGAUACGAUAUUCUAUAAGGUACCUUUUGAAGAAGUUUCAGAACUUGUAGCUACUCGUAGAGUGUUCAUCCACAAGGGGCAUGCUUAUAUAGCUGCCAAUCAGGUGGUUUCCCUUGUUGCCACGCAAUUUCGUAGUCAUUUAUCCAAGGCACUCAUUUGGACAAACAGAAAAUGGACAUCUACAAUAAGAGAACAAGAGAAUGAUCGCUUAUCACCUAUUGUGGAAGCGCUAAGCACAAGUUACCUGGGUCCUGACUAUUCUCAGCCGAAAGGGUUUAGUGAGAUUUCAGUAAAUGACAUCGAGGAGUUGGCGAAGAGUUCAUUUCCUUUGUGUAUGCGACAUCUAUUUGACAAGCUGAGGGAGGAUCAUCAUUUGAAGCAUGGAGGGAGAAUGCAAUUAGGCCUCUUUCUCAAGGGUGUUGGCUUGAAGCUAGAUGAUGCACUUUCGUUUUGGAAAGCUGAGUUCUCUCAAAAGGUUGGUUCGGAGAGGUUUGACAAAGAAUAUGCAUAUGGCAUACGCCAUAAUUAUGGAAGAGAAGGGAAAAGAACGGACUAUACACCUUAUUCAUGUCAAAAAGUCAUCUCAUCAACUCCGGGUGUAGGAGACCAUCAUGGGUGCCCUUAUCGACAUUUCAGUGAGGAGAAUCUUAGAGCUGCUCUUAGUAAAAUGGGAGUAAACAGCAGGGCAAUGGAAGAUGUAAUGGACAAAGUGCAAAAUAGACACUAUCAGUUGGCAUGCACCUUGACGUUUGAAGCUGUUCAUGGCGCAUCAUGUGAUUCCGGGAUUAACCAUCCAAAUCAAUACUUUAGCGACAGCCAAAAGAUCCUGCAAUCAAAGAACCCUUCUACUGCUGCCUAAAUAAAUGAAUAUGGAGCUCGCCACAGUUGAAAAUGCUUGGGCCCACUUGUAGUGACACAGAGAACUUGCCCAUUGAUGGUCGACCGCAAUUUUGUCUCAGAUUCGAGUAUAUGGUGACAGGAAAAUGUCCCAUCUAAUCAUUUGUAUCAAUGAAAUGACUCCCUUUUCAUGAGAUGGGACGAUAUACUUGAUCAUUUAAUAUCGAUGGGGCAUAGUAUUUUCAAUUUCUCGGCUUCUGUAGAUGUAUUAUAGUUUAAAUGGGUGCCCCAAAUGCAUUCUCUUUGUUUAAAACUGAUCUCUUGUGUUAAUUUAUUGUUUAUCCAGCUUAAGAUUUUUAUUCAUUAUUAUUUAGCGCCAGAAAGACAAGGCUGUUUGUGAAAUUAUAUGUUCUUGGAAUGAAAGUUUAGUUUAGUUGGUUUCA